AGUGAACGCUGGCGGUAGGCCUAACACAUGCAAGUCGAACGGCAGCACAGGAGAGCUUGCUCUCUGGGUGGCGAGUGGCGGACGGGUGAGGAAUACAUCGGAAUCUACUCUGUCGUAGGGGGAUAACGUAGGGAAACUUACGCUAAUACCGCAUACGACCUACGGGUGAAAGCAGGGGAUCUUCGGACCUUGCGCGAUUGAAUGAGCCGAUGUCGGAUUAGCUAGUUGGCGGGGUAAAGGCCCACCAAGGCGACGAUCCGUAGCUGGUCUGAGAGGAUGAUCAGCCACACGGGAACUGAGACACGGUCCAGACUCCUACGGGAGGCAGCAGUGGGGAAUAUUGGACAAUGGGCGCAAGCCUGAUCCAGCCAUACCGCGUGGGUGAAGAAGGCCUUCGGGUUGUAAAGCCCUUUUGUUGGGAAAGAAAUCCAGCUGGCUAAUACCCGGUUGGGAUGACGGUACCCAAAGAAUAAGCACCGGCUAACUUCGUGCCAGCCGCCGCCGUAA
rnacentral:rRNA from 1 species